GUUGUUAUCUUUCACAUAUGCAUAACCUUUCAGGAGGCAUAUAACCUGGCUUGUUCUUAUUUUGACACAAUCUAGGUGGGGGCAAGAUAAUCAAGAUUAUGGUGAAGUAUGAGGUGAAAUUAACAAGUUAUGCAAACCUACCAGCUCAAGACAUAGCAGGGGCUACGUCGGGGGAAGCGACGGCGAUCGGCCUUGCCUCCAUGGCAUCAUGUCGAGAAGGAUGCCGGCCGGGAGCAGGGUGUAGUCGGGGCAGGAAGGGUGGGAGGUGAAGCUGGCCCGGUGGCGCCGGCCUCCUUGAGUUAGACACAUGGGAGCAGGAGGAGGCGAGCUCUAGCGGCGGCGAGAGGUGAGCUCCAAUACCAGCGGCAAGAGGUGAACUUGAGCAGCGGCGACAAGAGGAGAGCUCGAGCAGCGGCGGCAAGAGGCGAGCUAACGCGGCGGUGGAGCGCGUGAGGACGCCGGCCCACCCUUGAGAGGCCACCGACUCCAAGGACGGGAGGCCGCCCAUCGGCGCGAGGCUGCAUCGUGGGAGUCAACCGGCAGGAGGCUGCUAGCGCAAGCACGGGAUAACGAAGGUGUGAGGCUAAGAUUGAUCGAUUGGGGAUCAGAUGGCGGUUUUCGAAAUACGAAGGGUAAAAAUAAAGAAAUCUUUUCAACUACACUUCCGAUAGUAGUAUCGUUUAGUUGGUUGUUACGAAUGAUUAUGCUGGAACACUCGUGCAUUCCACAAUUUCAGGAUUUUAAAUUUGUUAAUGUUUACCAGAAA